GUGGGGAAUAUUGGACAAUGGGCGAAAGCCUGAUCCAGCCAUGCCGCGUGUGUGAAGAAGGUCUUCGGAUUGUAAAGCACUUUAAGUUGGGAGGAAGGGCAGUAAGUUAAUACCUUGCUGUUUUGACGUUACCGACAGAAUAAGCACCGGCUAACUUCGUGCCAGCAGCCGCGGUAAUACGAAGGGUGCAAGCGUUAAUCGGAAUUACUGGGCGUAAAGCGCGCGUAGGUGGUUUGGUAAGUUGGAGGUGAAAUCCCCGGGCUCAACCUGGGAACUGCCUCCAAAACUGCAUGACUAGAGUACGGUAGAGGGUAGUGGAAUUUCCUGUGUAGCGGUGAAAUGCGUAGAUAUAGGAAGGAACACCAGUGGCGAAGGCGACUACCUGGACUGAUACUGACACUGAGGUGCGAAAGCGUGGGGAGCAAACAGGAUUAGAAACCCUAGUAGUCC
rnacentral:rRNA from 1 species